rnacentral:snoRNA from 1 species
AUGCAAAAACUCUCUUAAGAAAUGUGGUAGGCAGAUGCAAGAAAAAAGGGUCCUCGCGCUUUCUGUCUGUCUGAUUGUGGCAGCCAAGAUUGAAUGGGGGAAUACAGUG